GCAGCCGUGGCCUACUGGUUAGGGUUUCGGCUUGUAACCGAAGGGUUGCCUGUUCGAUCCCCGACCAGUAGGA
rnacentral:tRNA from 1 species